GCUCGGGUGACUGUUUACCAAAAACACGUCUCCAUAAAAUCUUUAGAUCAUAUAUGGGGAUUGGCAUUUGCCCAGUGCUGGAAGAUCAAAAGAGUUAGUGAUUUGAUGAUAGGAGAACCAGCGAUUGAAGUUUCGGUGAAUGGCGGUUGUAACUAUAACGGUCCUAAGAUAACGAAAUUUCUUGUCAUGUAAAUUUCGACACGCACAGAAGGCAUAACGACUUGGGC
rnacentral:rRNA from 1 species